rnacentral:rRNA from 1 species
UAGUCCACGCCCUAAACGAUGGAUACUAGUCGUUGGAGUUCCUAAUAGCUUCAGUGACGCAGCUAACGCGGUAAGUAUCCCGCCUGGGGAGUACGGUCGCAAGAUUAAAACUCAAAGGAAUUGAUGGGGGCCCGCACAAGCGGUGGAGCAUGUGGUUUAAUUCGAUGCUACGCGAAAAACCUUACCUGGUCUUGACAUCCUGUGCAAUCUUGGGAAACCAAGGGUUCUCUUCGGAGACGCAGUGACAGGUGCUGCAUGGCUGUCGUCAGCUCGUGUUGUGAGAUGUUGGGUUAAGUCCCGCAACGAGCGCAACCCCUAUUACUAGUUACCAUCAUUAAGUUGGGCACUCUAGUAAGACUGCCGAGCUAUAAGCCGGAGGAAGGUGGGGAUGACGUCAAGUCCUCAUGGCCUUUAUGACCAGGGCUACACACGUGCUACAAUGGGUAGGACAAAGCGCUACUAACUCGCAAGAGUGUGCUAAUCGCAAAAACCUGCCCUC